rnacentral:rRNA from 1 species
UUGAACGCUGGCGGCAUGCUUUACACAUGCCCGUCGAACGGUAACAGGCCUUCGGGUGCUGACGAGUGGCGAACGGGUGAGUAAUGCAUCGGAACGUACCCAGAGGUGGGGGAUAACGCAGCGAAAGCUGUGCUAAUACCGCAUGUGAUCUGAGGAUGAAAGCGGGGGACCGAGCAGCAAUGUUUGGCCUCGCGCCUUUGGAGCGGCCGAUGUCGGAUUAGCUAGUUGGUGGGGUAAAGGCCUACCAAGGCGACGAUCCGUAGCUGGUCUGAGAGGACGACCAGCCACACUGGGACUGAGACACGGCCCAGACUCCUACGGGAGGCAGCAGUGGGGAAUUUUGGACAAUGGGCGCAAGCCUGAUCCAGCAAUGCCGCGUGCGGGAAGAAGGCCUUCGGGUUGUAAACCGCUUUUGGCAGGAACGAAACGGUGUCCGCUAAUACCGGGCGCUAAUGACGGUACCUGCAGAAUAAGCACCGGCUAACUACGUG